UCGCCUGUUUAUUCAAAAACAUGGCCUCCUGUUUAAAGUGGAAAGGUGGUCUGGCCUGCCCGGUGGGACCAAGGUCCUAAACGGUCGCAGCUACCACUGUGCGAAGGUAGCGUAAUAGGUCGUCCUUUAAUUGGGGGAGAGUAUGAAUGGUCGGAUGUUGGAGGGACUUUAUUAAGAACACAGGCUGAAGUUUACUUUCUAGUGCAAAGGCUGGAAUAGAGUUAUUAGACGAGAAGACCCUAUUGAGCUUGGUAAGCCCAAGCAGUUGUAGUUUGGGUGUAUGUUUUUUCGGGGCCGAAAAGAAGGGAUAAAUAUCUUCUAUUUUUUUUGAAGAUCCAGCGAGGUUGAAAAGAGGAAGAUAGUUACCAUAGGGAUAACAGCGCAAUUUCUUUGAAAAGAUCAUAUUUAAGGAGAAGUUUGCGACCUCGAUGUUGAAUCAGAGUUUCUACCAGGUGUAGCAGUUUGGUAAGUAGGACUGUUCGUCCUUUAAAGCUCUACGUGAUCUGAGUUCAGACCGGA
rnacentral:rRNA from 1 species